AACGUAGGGGGCGAGCGUUGUCCGGAAUUACUGGGCGUAAAGGGCGCGUAGGCGGUUUUUUAAGUCUCAAGGUGAAAACUAUCGGCUCAACCGGUAGCGUGCCUGAGAAACUGGGAGACUUGAGUGCAGGAGAGGGGAGUGGAAUUCCCAGUGUAGCGGUGAAAUGCGUAGAUAUUGGGAGGAACACCAGUGGCGAAGGCGGCUCUCUGGCCUGUAACUGACGCUGAGGCGCGAAAGCGUGGGGAGCGAACGGGAUUAGAUACCCCGGUAGUCCACGCCGUAAACGAUGGGUGCUAGGUGUAGGAGGUAUCGACCCCUUCUGUGCCGUAGUUAACACAAUAAGCACCCCGCCUGGGGAGUACGGCCGCAAGGUUGAA
rnacentral:rRNA from 1 species